rnacentral:rRNA from 1 species
GACGAACGCUGGCGGCGUGCUUAACACAUGCAAGUCGAACGAAGUGGCGAACGGGUGAGUAACGCGUAAUCAACCUGCCAUUCAGAGGGGGCCAACAGUUGGAAACGACUGCUAAUACCGCAUACUGAAGGAGGGGAUUGCGUCUGAUUGGCUAGUUGGGGGGGUAACGGCCCACAAAGGCGAUGAUCAGAAGCCGGUCGGAGCGGAUGAACGGCCACAUUGGGACUGAGACACGGCCCAGACUCCUACGGGAUGAAGCAGUGGGGAAUCUUCCGCAAUGGACGAAAGUCUGACGGAGCAACGCCGCGGGAGUGAUGACGGCCUUCGGGUUGUAAAGCUCUGUUAAUCGGGACGCGGUACCGGAAUAGAAAGCCACGGCUAACUACGUGCCAGCCGCCGCGGUAAUUC